UACGAGAGCCUCGAGCGUUAUCCGGAAUUAUUGGGCGUAAAGGGUGUGUAGGCGGUAAUGUUAGUCUCAUGUCAAAGCCUGUCGCCAAACGACAGAUCCGCAUGGGAAACGGCAUAACUAGGAGGGUGCGAGAGGUGAAUGGAACUCACGGUGUAGGGGUGAAAUCCGUUGAUAUCGUGGGGAACGCCAAAAGCGAAGGCAAUUCACUGGCGCAUACCUGACGCUGAAACACGAAAGCCAGGGUAUCGAAUGGG
rnacentral:rRNA from 1 species